rnacentral:rRNA from 1 species
CUACCCUUGACAUGUCUGGAAUGCCGAAGAGAUUUGGCAGUGCUCGCAAGAGAACCGGAACACAGGUGCUGCAUGGCUGUCGUCAGCUCGUGUCGUGAGAUGUUGGGUUAAGUCCCGCAACGAGCGCAACCCUUGUCAUUAGUUGCUACGAAAGGGCACUCUAAUGAGACUGCCGGUGACAAACCGGAGGAAGGUGGGGAUGACGUCAAGUCCUCAUGGCCCUUAUGGGUAGGGCUUCACACGUCAUACAAUGGUCGGGACAGAGGGUCGCCGACCCGCGAGGGGGAGCCAAUCCCAGAAACCCGAUCGUAGUCCGGAUCGCAGUCUGCAACUCGACUGCGUGAAGUCGGAAUCGCUAGUAAUCGCGAAUCAGAAUGUCGCGGUGAAUACGUUCCC